rnacentral:rRNA from 1 species
AGCAGCGCGGUAAUUCCAGCUCCAAUAGCGUAUAUUAAAGUUGUUGCAGUUAAAAAGCUCGUAGUUGAAUUUCGGGGUUAGUAGAUUGGUCGUGCCACUGGUAUGUACUGGUCUUACUGAUUCCUUCUUCCUGAUGAACCGUAAUGCCAUUAAUUUGGUGUUGCGGGGAGACUGGACUGUUACUUUGAAAAAUUAGAGUGUUUAAAGCAGGCUAACGCUUGAAUACAUUAGCAUGGAAUAAUGAAAUAGGACGUUCGAUCCUAUUUUGUUGGUUUCUAGGAUUGACGUAAUGAUUAAUAGGGAUAGUUGGGGGCAUUAGUAUUCAAUUGUCAGAGGUGAAAUUCUUGGAUUUAUUGAAGACUAACUACUGCGAAAGCAUUUGCCAAGGAUGUUUUCAUUAAUCAAGAACGAAAGUUAGGGGGAUCGAAGACGAUCAGAUACCGUCGUAGUCUUAACCAUAAACUAUGCCGACUAGGGAUCGGAUGAUGUUAUUUUUUAAUGACUCAUUCGGCGCCUUACA